UUCUGCGCGCUGGGGCGGGAGCGUGGAAGGGGGGAGGGAGAAGGGGAAGGACCCCCCUCCCAGCUCCCUUGUAAGGCAGGCCUUCAACUCCGGACUUUUUAAUUUAAUUUUAAUUGUUUGAAAUUUAUCCGGGGAGGGGAAAAAAGCUGAGAAAACACGCGGGAGGUUGGCACCAGCGCUUCUGUGCCUUUCCUUUUUCUCCUUCUUGUUCCUGCAAAGGAUGUGGAACCUUUUCUCCAGCCUCCAAAAAAAACAACAACAACGCAUAUAAAACCGAGGGAGAAGACUAGAGGAAUUUCCUCUGGAACAAUCCGGUUGAUACCAUGGAAGCGCGACUGGCAUCCCUUGAAGUAAAAGAAGAAGGAAAAACCCACAAGAAAGUGAAUCUACACCAUCCCAAAAUCCCAACUCAACUACCCCAGUCCCAGGAAACUAGUAACUCUGCGAGUAACAUGUCCAUUCUCGUCAACGAACAGAAGCAUCCCAAUGCUAUCUUAUUUGGAUUGGAGGACACCAACUAAUCUUAUAUAUAUAAAUAAAGGAGGAGAACCUGUGGCUUAGUGGCUAACACAACUGCCUGAUAUGUAA